UACGAAGGGGGCUAGCGUUGUUCGGAAUUACUGGGCGUAAAGCGUAUGCAGGCGGAUCGUUAAGUCGGGGGUGAAAUCCCGAGGCUCAACCUCGGAACUGCCUUCGAUACUGGCGAUCUUGAGUCCGGGAGAGGUGAGUGGGACUCCGAGUGUAGAGGUGAAAUUCGUAGAUAUUCGGAAGAGCACCAGUGGCGAAGGCGGCUCACUGGCCCGGUACUGACGCUGAGAUACGAAAGCGUGGGGAGCAAACAGG
rnacentral:rRNA from 1 species